rnacentral:rRNA from 1 species
GUACGGAGGGUGCAAGCGUUGUUCGGAAUCACUGGGCGUAAAGGGCGCGCAGGCGGUUUGGUAAGUCAGAUGUGAAAGCCCACGGCUCAACCGUGGAAGUGCAUUUGAAACUGUCAGACUUGAGUACUAGAGGGGAAAGUGGAAUUCCCGGUGUAGAGGUGAAAUUCGUAGAUAUCGGGAGGAAUACCGGUGGCGAAGGCGACUUUCUGGCUAGAUACUGACGCUGAGGCGCGAAAGCGUGGGGAGCAAACAGGAUUAGAUACCCCAGUAGUCC